rnacentral:rRNA from 1 species
CGUGAGGAACCUGCCUCAAAGAGGGGGACAACAGUUGGAAACGACUGCUAAUACCGCAUAAGCCCACAGCUCGGCAUCGAGCAGAGGGAAAAGGAGUGAUCCGCUUUGAGAUGGCCUCGCGUCCGAUUAGCUAGUUGGUGAGGUAAAGGCUCACCAAGGCGACGAUCGGUAGCUGGUCUGAGAGGACGACCAGCCACACUGGGACUGAGACACGGCCCAG